CACGUAGGGGGCAAGCGUUGUCCGGAUUUAUUGGGCGUAAAGAGCUCGUAGGCGGCUCAGUAAGUCGGGUGUGAAACCUCCAGGCUCAACCUGGAGACGCCACCCGAUACUGCUGUGGCUUGAGUCCGGUAGGGGAGCGUGGAAUUCCUGGUGUAGCGGUGAAAUGCGCAGAUAUCAGGAGGAACACCCGUAGCGAAGGCGGCACUCUGGGCCGGUACUGACGCUGAGGAGCGAAAGCGUGGGGAGCGAACAGG
rnacentral:rRNA from 1 species